rnacentral:lncRNA from 1 species
CCAGAUCUCACCACUGCACUCCAGCCUGGGCGACAGAGCGACACUCCAUCUCAAAGAGCCCCUUAAAUUUGUGUCCUUUUCAUUUUCUACUUCUGGAGCACCAAAUUUUUGAGACUGUCACAUAACUAUAAAUGCAAUAGUUUCUGUUCCAGAAUCCUGGGUCCCAUACCCUAGGACUUUACCAUACUUACCUAAUAUGGGCACAGCCCUGACUAACUACAGUAACUUUAUUACCUAGGAAUUGCAUUUGUCUGCGUGUAGCGGUCUCCUGAAAAAAGUGGUUUAAACACACAAGGAUCUAUUAUCUUACGGAAUAAAUUUUGAGUGUGCUGGACCAGUCAAAGAAUCGUGCGUCAAAACCGAGAAAACGAACAAGACUUCAUCGCCAUGGCACAUUUAUAUAAAAAGAAAGGGAGAGAUGUUGUGGGAAGUCAGGGACCCCGAAAGGAGGGACCGGCUAGAGCCGCAGCAGAGGAACAUAAAUGGUGAAGAUUUCAUGGAUAUUUAUCAGUUCCCAAAUAAUACUGUUGUGAUUUCUUAUGCCUGUCUUUACUUUAAUCUCUUAAUCCUGUUAUCUUCGUAAGCUGAGGAUGUACGUCACCUCAGGACCACUGUGAUAAUUGUGUUAACUGUACAAAUUGAUUGUAAAACAUGUGUUUGAACAAUAUGAAAUCAGUGCACCUUGAAAAAGAAUAGAAUAACAGCGAUUUUUGGGGAACAAGGGAAGACAACCAUAAGGUCUGACUGCCUGUGGGGUCAGGCGAACAGAGCCAUAUUUUUCUUCUUGCAGAGAGCCUAUAAACGGAUGUGCAAGUAAGAGAGAUAUCACUAAAUUCUUUUCCUAGCAAGGAAUAUUAAUAUUAAUACCCUGGGAAAGGAAUGCAUUCCUGGGGGGAGGUCUAUAAACAACUGCUCUGGGAAUGUCUGUCUUAUGCAGUUGAGAUAAGGACUGAGAUACACCCUGGUCUCCUGCAGUACCCUCAGGCUUACUAGGGUGGGGAAAAACUCUGCCCUGGUAAAUUUGUGGUCAGACUGGUUGUCUGCUCUUGAACCCUGUUUUCUGUUGUUUAAGAUGUUUAUCAAGACAAUAUGUGCACCAGUGAACAUAGACCCUUAUCAUUAGUUCUGCUUUUGCCCUUUGCCUUGUGAUCUUUGUUGGACCCUUAUCAGUAGUUCUGCUUUUUCCCUUUGUCCUGUUCCCUCAGAAGCAUGUCAUCUUUGUUAGACCCUUAUUAGUAGUUCUGCUUUUUGCCUUUUGAAGCAUGUGAUCUUUGUACCUACUCCCUGUUUUACACCCCCUCCCCUUUUGAAACCCUUAAUAAAAACUUGCUGGUUUGAGGCUCAGGUGGGCAUCACGGUCCUACUGAUAUGUCACGUCACCCCUGGCGGCCCAGCUGUAAAAUUCCUCUCUUUGUACUCUUUCUCUUUAUUUCUCAGCCGGCUGAAACUUAUGGAAAAUAGAAACAGCCUAUGUUGAAAUAUUGGGGGUGGGUUUCCCUGAUAAUUUGUCCCCAAGUGACACCCUGUGAGCCAGCCCUGGGUGGUACAAGGACUCCUGUGGGAGCCACAGGAGCAGGUGCAGCCCCAGGCUGCUGGUGCUCUCAGAACUGCACAAACACUGCUUUCUGAGAAACCAGUACAAGUACUUUCUAGUGAGCGGGGAGGGCAUCUCCCAAACCGGCUAUGACCUAGUCACCUGAGGUGCCUAAAAGUCUCUCUCAUCUGUGCCUCACUCCAGCUUUGGAAGUGGGACCUCCUUGUCUAAGCCACUCUUCCGGAGUGAGCUGCACAGCCCAAGGGACAGAUUUCACACCAGCACCUUAUGCUAGCCCAGAGAGACAGAUGUCACUCACUGCAACACAGCAGAGGUGCAGACUAAGUGGCAGCCAGGGGCCAUGAGAGGGAACAUGGUGGAGGGGGACAAACAGGGCCCUCCUGGCCAGUGAGCCCUGGGCUUGGAUCCAGUUAAAUCACCUCUGAGCCUUAAUUUCCUCACUCACA